AGAUGACAAGUAAUAGACAACGACAACAAGGAUCCACAACUAGCGUAAACUGAACAAAUGUGACGCAUGUAAUGCCUCAUACAAACCCAAAUUGAACUACCUCUAAGACUUUAACAUUCAUUCUUUCUCUGCACAUAUUCCAUUUUCAGGGGGCUCUUUUUCAUUUCAUGUUUCCAUAUCAAACAUUUUUUCAUCCAUAUAGUUGGAGACCACCAAGUUUGUGUAUAGAUUUAAUUUACUACUCUAACUAACUAGACCAAAAGGGAAAAUUAACUCUAGAUUCCCAAUGUCUUGUAUGGCUGUG
rnacentral:misc_RNA from 1 species